rnacentral:rRNA from 1 species
GUAGGGAAUCUUGCGCAAUGGGCGAAAGCCUGACGCAGCCAUGCCGCGUGAAUGAUGAAGGUCUUAGGAUUGUAAAAUUCUUUCACCGGGGACGAUAAUGACGGUACCCGGAGAAGAAGCCCCGGCUAACUUCGUGCCAGCAGCCGCGGUAAUACGAAGGGGGCUAGCGUUGCUCGGAAUUACUGGGCGUAAAGGGCGCGUAGGCGGACAGUUUAGUCAGAGGUGAAAGCCCAGGGCUCAACCUUGGAAUUGCCUUUGAUACUGGCUGUCUUGCGUAGGGGAGAGGGGAAUGGAACUCCGAGUGUAGAGGUGAAAUUCGUAGAUAUUCGGAAGAACACCAGUGGCGAAGGCGACUCACUGGCCCGUUACUGACGCUGAGGCGCGAAAGCGUGGGGAGCAAACAGGAUUAGAUACCCUAGUAGUCC